CGUAUUGAUUCAUCGAGUAAUCAUAUUAACAUAUGAUUCAUUGAAAUGUCUUAAAAUACACAUCAUAACAAUAGGAAAUCUUAAUUUAAUAAAUUAAGGACAUACUUUUAAAUAAGUAAGAGUUUGUGGUGGAUGCCUUGGGUCUGGAAGUCGAUGAAGGACGUGAUUACCUGCGAUAAGCCUCGUGGAGCUGGAUAUAAGCUACGAAACGGGGAUUUCCGAAUGGGGAAACCUAACUAGGGUAAUGCCUAGUUGCCUUCUUGUGAAUACAUAGCAAGUCGAGCGAGACACC
rnacentral:misc_RNA from 1 species